rnacentral:lncRNA from 10 species
CUCCGGAUGGGCCGGCUAGGCCCUGCCUCCCUCUUCGCGUCCCUGGUUCCCAUUGGCCUUCAGUUUGUGACAGGCACGAUGAUUGCGGAGCUAGAGUUCAGGCAGCCGGAGCGAGAAGGGUGCGUGGCUUUUGACACAGCAGAGUUCUUUGGACUACUCACCAACUGACAGUCCCAAAAGGGCUGGAGAUGCCACCCCGGCAAAGUUCGCCCUAGUCAUUUGCUUCACGAGAGACCACGGAGCCUGGUGAGGGAGAUACACCUGCAAAGAGAACUUCAGUUCAGUAACAGCAACGGGCAUAGCCAGUGUGUUCACCAACUCAUGAGAGAUCACACUACCAACAUCGCCCGCUUGAUUUUCCCCAUCAACGAACAGCUUAUCCUGGAAACAAUCGUUUUAGUAGGCAUGAUGGCUCACGCCUAUAAUCCCAGAAUCUUGGGAGGCCGAGGCAGGAGGAUUGCUUGGGCCCAGGAGUUCGAGAUCAUCCUGAGCAAUAUGGUGAGGCCUUGUCUCUACAAGAAUAAAAAAAUAAGCUGGGCAUGGUGGCUCAUGCCUGUAUUCCCAGCUGCUCAGGGGUCUGAGAUGGGAGGAUUACUUGAGCCCAGGAAGUCAAGGCUGCAGUGAGCUAUGAUCACACCACUACACUCUGACCUGGGCAAUGGGAGUGAGACCCUGUCUCAAAAAGGUAAAUUCAUUUUUGAUCUAAUGAAAGACUGAUGGUACUAAUAUUUUCUGAGCUAAAUCAUGAGAAGAUGUUGUCAAUUUAUUCAGAUCCAGAGUCAGAGGAAAUGGGAAAUGGGGAAGGAGAGUGCAGUGUGGAGGGGAGGUGAAGGUGUGCGGAGCAGGGAGAGAGGUCUGGGGCAGACAGGGGCGAGGAAUAAUGGGGAAGAGCAGAAAGCAGAAGUUCAGAGAUGUGAGAAUAAAAACUCAUACUUGUGGAUAUUUACUCUGGGCAGAUGUUUUUAGUGCACUCUCUCUCUCUCUUCAUUUAUAUAUAUACAUAUCAUAUAUACAUAUACGUAUACACAUGUAUGUACAUAUAUACAUAUAUGUACAUGUAUAUCGUGUAUAUAUAUACAUAUAUACAUAUGUGUGUAUAUAUACACACAGUGUCACAGGCAUUGGGAAAACUCUACUGUCCGUGCCCUUGCAGGCAAUGUGACUUUGGGCAAGUUUCUUAGUCUCUUAACCUAUGUGUCUCAGUUUCCUAUUCUGUAAUAAGGGACGAUAACAUUAACAACACACUAAGUGACUGUUAUUAUAUAUACCUAUUUAUAUAAUUUAAAAAUAUAGUCAUAUUUUGAUAUUACAGGGUGAUGAGUCAAUAUCAGGAAAGCACAAAGAUGGCCUCUGUUCCAUAUCAAGCUUUCUGUACGUGUUUGCUACCAUGGGUGUUAGCAGCAACAUCCUUGUCACUGUCAUUAUGGGAAAUAGCAUUGGUGUAAUAUUAAAUAAAACAACAGAUGCAGUAUUAUAAACACACUACUUGUUCUCCAAUCUCAUAAUUUUAAAAAACAUGCAUAGAAAAAAGCCUGUAAGGGAAUGCACCACAUAUGAAGUGUUGUUCUCUAAGUGGGAAACACGAUCAUUUUGAAAUAAUAUUCCUUUCACUGUUUUACUUGCGUUUUCCUCCUUAUUAUCACUCAGCCACUGUUUCUCUAAUAAUUUUUUUUUGAGAUGGAGUCUUGAUCUGUCACCCAGGCUGGAGUGCAGUGGCACGAUCUUGGCUCACUGUAACCUCUGCUUCCUGGGUUCAAGCAGUUUUCCUGCCUCAGCCUCCCGAGUAGCUGGCAUUACAGGUAUGUGCCACUAUGCCUGGCUAAUUUUUGUAUUUUUAGUAGAAACUGGGUUUCACCAUGUUGGCCAGGCUGGUCUUGGACUCCUGACCUUGUGAUCCACCUGACUCGGCCUCCCAAAGUGUUGGGAUUACAGGCAUGAGCCACCGUGCCUGGCCAAUAAUUUUAAA